rnacentral:lncRNA from 1 species
GCGUUAUUUUUUGACUUUUGCAAUCUAUAUAUUUUGUAGUUUACUAUGUUGAAUCUUGCCAAGCUUGAUUUCACGACUGGAUAUUUCGGACAAGAAUUACUUGUCAUGGGUGCUAGAUGCUGAAACUCACCUGAAUGCCAAUGGGCUUGGUGAUGCGAUAAAAAAAAUGCAUCUAGCCAAGAUAAAGCUAAGGCUUUGAUUUUGUUCUUUGAAACAAACUAAAAGAAAGAUUUGGUCAUCAGAAAAC